ACUCUGCUCCUGCGACCUAGCCAGGCGUGAGGGAGUGACAGCAGCGCAUUCGCGGGACGAGAGCGAUGAGUGAGAACGCCGCACCAGGUCUGAUCUCAGAGCUGAAGCUGGCUGUGCCCUGGGGCCACAUCGCAGCCAAAGCCUGGGGCUCCCUGCAGGGCCCUCCAGUUCUCUGCCUGCACGGCUGGCUGGACAAUGCCAGCUCCUUCGACAGACUCAUCCCUCUUCUCCCGCAAGACUUUUAUUACGUUGCCAUGGAUUUCGGAGGUCAUGGGCUCUCGUCCCAUUACAGCCCAGGUGUCCCAUAUUACCUCCAGACUUUUGUGAGUGAGAUCCGAAGAGUUGUGGCAGCCUUGAAAUGGAAUCGAUUCUCCAUUCUGGGCCACAGCUUCGCUCUUUUGUCCCCCAGGUGGCGUCGUGGGCGGAAUGUUUUUCUGUACCUUCCCCGAGAUGGUGGAUAAACUUAUCUUGCUGGACACGCCGCUCUUUCUCCUGGAAUCAGAUGAAAUGGAGAACUUGCUGACCUACAAGCGGAGAGCCAUAGAGCACGUGCUGCAGGUAGAGGCCUCCCAGGAGCCCUCGCACGUGUUCAGCCUGAAGCAGCUGCUGCAGAGGUUACUGAAGAGCAAUAGCCACUUGAGUGAGGAGUGCGGGGAGCUUCUCCUGCAAAGAGGAACCACGAAGGUGGCCACAGGCAGAGAACAGCAUUGACUUCAUCAGCAGGGAGCUGUGUGCGCAUUCCAUCAGGAAGCUGCAGGCCCAUGUCCUGUUGAUCAAGUAAGUCUGGACCCAUCCCCUUCAGCCACCCGCCAAGGAGACAUGGGCGCCAGGAAUCUCCGGGAGGGGGCCCUGGCAUGAGGCUCCAAGUUCUCUGCGUGUCGACCACAUCGCUAAGGCUCAAGAUCUUUUUUGGGAAGCCCCCCUGGCAGCAGGGUCAUGGAAGGAGGAAGGUCAGAGGAGGGGAGGGCUCGGGCAGCAGGGGAUGGGCCGGGGCUGUCCCAUGCCUUUCCACAGGUGUCAGCGGGGGGCAUGCCCAGGUAAGGCUCCAUAACCAGUGAGCCCAGUCUCGGCUGACUGCAACCUCUGUCUCCUGGAUUCAAACGAUUCUCCUGCCUCAGCCUCCCGAGUAGCUGGGACUACAGGCGCCCGCCACCAGGCCUGGCUUAUUUUUGUAUUUUUAGUAGAGACGAGGUUUCGCCAUGUUGGCCAGGCUGCUCUCCAUCUCCUGACCUCAUGAUCCGCCCGCCUCGGCCUCCCAGUGUUGGGAUUACAGGCGUGAGCCACCGUGCGUGGCCCACCAUAGACGAUUUUUAAGCCAUAAAAAGAAACGAAGCACUGACACGGGCUCCAGCAUGGAUGAGCCUUUAAAACAUCGCGCUAAGUGGACGAAUUCAGACACAACCGUCUACGUGUUGUAUGGCUGCAUUCACGUUCAAGUCAAGUCCAAAUAGGGCACACUGCAGAGACAAAGCCAGAGCAGUCCACGGAUAUUUUGAUUCAAGACAGAAUUACUCUGAGAAGGAGUCCCUGUCGUUCAUGAUAGACACGAUGAAAUCCACCCUCAAAGAGCAGUUCCAGUUUGUGGAAGUCCCAGGCAAUCACUGUGUCCACAUGAGCGAACCCCAGCACGUGGCCAGUAUCAUCAGCUCCUUCUUACAGUGCACACACAUGCUCCCAGCCCAGCUGUAGCUCUGGGCCUGGAACUAUGAAGACCUAGUGCUCCCAGACUCAACACUGGGACUCUGAGUUCCUGAGCCCCACAACAAGGCCAGGGAUGGUGGGGACAGGCCUCACUAGUCUUGAGGCCCAGCCUAGGAUGGUAGUCAGGGGAAGGAGCGAGAUUCCAACUUCAACAUCUGUGACCUCAAGGGGGAGACAGAGUCUGGGUUCCAGGGCUGCUUUCUCCUGGCUAAUAAUAAAUAUCCAGCCAGCUGGAGGAAGGAAGGGCAGGCUGGGCCCACCUAGCCUUUCCCUGCUGCCCAACUGGAUGGAAAAUAAAAGGUUCUUGUAUUCUCA